UACGUAGGUGACAAGCGUUGUCCGGAUUUAUUGGGCGUAAAGAGCGUGUAGGCGGCCAGACAAGUCUGCUGUGAAAACUCGAGGCUCAACCUCGAGCUGUCGGUGGAAACUGUCUGGCUAGAGUCCGGAAGAGGAGAGUGGAAUUCCUGGUGUAGCGGUGAAAUGCGCAGAUAUCAGGAAGAACACCUAUGGCGAAGGCAGCUCUCUGGGACGGUACUGACGCUGAGACGCGAAAGCGUGGGGAGCGAACAGG
rnacentral:rRNA from 1 species